rnacentral:rRNA from 1 species
CACGCCGUAAACAAUGUGCGUUAGGUGUGUCGGUAACCACGCGUUACUGAUGCGCCGAAGAGAAAUCGUGAAACGCACCACCUGGGAAGUACGGUCGCAAGGCUGAAACUUAAAGGAAUUGGCGGGGGAGCACCACAACGGGUGGAGCUUGCGGUUUAAUUGGAUUCAACGCCGGAAAUCUUACCGGGACCGACAGCAACAUGAAGGCCAAGCUGAAGACUUUGCCGGAUUAGCUGAGAGGAGGUGCAUGGCGUAGUCGUGU